UCAUUGAUUGGUGGUUGCCAUGGCUGCAGGCAUUUAGCUUGGCAAUAUGGCGUCGGCGGGUCGGCGAAGGCCGCCACUUUUUCUCUUCCAGGCUAUUCUGGGUUUCUGAGGCAGGCCGGCCCGGGUAUGGGCUCUCUGUCACCACUCAGCCUCCUGUGGGGACUCCUCCUGCUGCAGGGCGUCCUGAGGCCGCUGCGCGGCGACCCGGGUGUGUAUGGUGAGGGUAUGGCCUGCAUGGCCCAGGCUGAGGGAAUCUGGCUCUUAAAGGGCCAAACCUGGGGUUCCUAGGAUCCCGGAAGCCAGGCCACAUAAAAAGCCAGCACACGCACCCCAGGUACAGGUUCUGUACCCGUUAACCCCUCCCCACACAUCCUUCCUUCCCUCAGUUUUCAUCCCACCUUUCAUCCGGAUGUCCAGCCCUGAGGUCCGAGCGACCCUGGUCGGAGGCAGCGAGGAUGUCGCCGUGUCUCUGACUCUGCUGCAGGUCGAGGAAGGAGUGUUGCCAGUUCCUACUUGUGGCGGCCGCCGCAAUGAGACAGCGGAUUGGAAUGUGACUGUGAGCCCCCGAGAGAGCACUCUGGAAGUGACCAUAAGGUGGAAGAGGGGUCUAGACUGGUGCUCCGCAGACGAGACAGCC
ensembl:processed_transcript